UGGCUUUUUCCAAACGCUCUUUGGGAACACCAACCGCACACACACAAAAAAGAAACCGUUAUCGCCCUCGCAAGAUGAAUUUUCGACUGGUGGUAUACGCUGUCUGCCACGUACGAGCUUCCAGCAGUGAGUGUGCCACGUAAGAGCCAAGUGAUAUUUACUCCGUAUCUCGUCGGAUGACCAUUGCUGAGCCAAAGGCGUACGGCAGUUACUGCAGCUGGACAUCGGUGGACGUAGAUGUUAUGGUCAAUCUGAGUCACGGUAGUGCAUUUUCCCUGUUUCAGUGUUGGUUUUGUAAAUUCUGUUGUAGCUACGAAACGAACAGGGAAACAGCACUCAGAAAGGACAAGGUGUAGCAGAACAUCUCCGGACAUCUAUUUACCAUGACGACCUACAGUAAAAUGAGACAACUCGUCAUGGAUUUCAAUAUUUAUUGGUAUGAGGACGGCGACAUUUUCCUUGGAGUUGAUGAUCCUGGGUAACGUCCCGCAUGCCGCACACAUCAUCACCCGAUUGGGACCAGGAAUCGCCAGCGUUGGUUGGCUGUUCGACAUCGGACCAGUGAUCGCCAGUCAUUUCGUCGUCGGUGGUGGCAGGUAGUUCUCCGGAACCCAAGUCCUUCUACGACUUCCAGAAGGUUGCAACAGGUACUGCA